rnacentral:rRNA from 1 species
GAUGAACGCUGGCGGCGUGCUUAACACAUGCAAGUCGAACGAUGAAGCCCAGCUUGCUGGGUGGAUUAGUGGCGAACGGGUGAGUAACACGUGAGUAACCUGCCCUUGACUCUGGGAUAAGCCCGGGAAACUGGGUCUAAUACCGGAUAGGAGCGCCUGUCGCAUGACGGGUGUUGGAAAGAUUUUUCGGUAAUGGAUGGACUCGCGGCCUAUCAGCUUGUUGGUGAGGUAAUGGCUCACCAAGGCGACGACGGGUAGCCGGCCUGAGAGGGUGACCGGCCACACUGGGACUGAGAGACGGCCCAGACUCCUACGGGAGGCAGCAGUGGGGAAUAUUGCACAAUGGGCGGAAGCCUGAUGCAGCGACGCCGCGUGAGGGAUGACGGCCUUCGGGUUGUAAACCUCUUUCAGUAGGGAAGAAGCGAAAGUGACGGUACCUGCAGAAGAAGCACCGGCUAACUACGUG